GACGAACGCUGGUGGCGUGCCUAAUACAUGCAAGUAGAACGCUGAAGAGAGGAGCUUGCUCUUCUUGGAUGAGUUGCGAACGGGUGAGUAACGCGUAGGUAACCUGCCUGGUAGCGGGGGAUAACUAUUGGAAACGAUAGCUAAUACCGCAUAAAAUGGAUUAUCGCAUGAUAAUCCAUUGAAAGGUGCAAAUGCAUCACUACCAGAUGGACCUGCGUUGUAUUAGCUAGUUGGUGGGGUAACGGCUCACCAAGGCGACGAUACAUAGCCGACCUGAGAGGGAGAUAGGCCACACUGGGAAUGAGACGGGGCCCAGACUCCGACGGGAGGCAGCAGUAGGGAAUCGUAGAGAAUGGACGGAAGUCUGACCGAGCAACGCCGCGGGAGUGAAGAAGGUUUUCGGAUCGUAAAGCUCUGUUGGAAGAGAAGAACGAGUGUGAGAGUGGAAAGUUCACACUGUGACGGUAUCUUACCAGAAAGGGACGGCUAACUAC
rnacentral:rRNA from 1 species